rnacentral:rRNA from 1 species
GAUGAACGCUGGCGGCGUGCCUAACACAUGCAAGUCGAGCGAACGGACGAGAAGUUUGCUUCUCUGAUGUUAGCGGCGGACGGGUGAGUAACACGUGGAUAACCUACCUAUAAGACUGGGAUAACUUCGGGAAACCGGAGAUAAUACCGGAGGAUAUUUUGAACAGCAUGGUUCAAAAGUGAAAGACGGUCUUGCUGUCACUUAUAGACGGAUCCGCGCUGCAUUAGCUAGUUGGUAAGGUAAUGGCUUACCAAGGCAACGAUGCGUAGCCGACCUGAGAGGGUGAUCGGCCACACUGGAACUGAGACACGGUCCAGACUCCUACGGGAGGCAGCAUGAGGGAAUCUUCCGCAAUGGGCGAAAGCCUGACGAAGCAACGCCGCGGGGGUGAUGAAGGUCUUCGGAUCGUAAAACUCUGUUAUUAGGAAAGAACAGAUGUGUAAGUAACUGUGCACAUCUUGACGGUACCUAAGCAGAAAGCCACGGCUAACUACGU